rnacentral:rRNA from 1 species
AUGGUUUUUCUGUUUUCAUUUUACUUGGAACAGGAAAAUGCCCUUAUGGAACUUUUAAGCUAUAUGUACAGUGGAAAGUUGACAACAACUGAGCCCACUCUUUUGCUGGAUAUCUUGAUGGCUGCAGACAAGUUUGGGGUUAUCUCUUGCAUGAGGCGUUGCGGUCAGCUGCUCACAAGCUUGCCUAUGACAACAGAAUCUGCACUGCUCUACAUAGACCACCCUUGCUCGACUUUAAUGGUCGCUGAGGUCCAGCAUGUGAUUGGUGUUGCCAAGGAAUUCCUUGCAAACAAGUACAAGGAUUUUGAUAAGUUAGUGAUCCCCAUUUCAUGGAGCCAUACUUUGUUUCAUUUUUUAAGAAAACUGUAG